ACCGUGUCUGCACACUGGACUUAAGAAACAGCAAGUACCUAAGACCCCGAAUCUAUUCACAUAAAUUGCUUCACCUACGCAGGGGGUACAGUGAGACACUCGGUCUCCAGAGGUACCAUACAUAUAUUAGUUAAAUAGAACAGAUCCCCUUAUACUUUUCUCCAUUUUAACAAAAAAAAAAAAAGAGGGGUAACCGUUAUUGUAGCCAGGAACAGGGAAGGGGGG